rnacentral:lncRNA from 1 species
ACGAUUCCAGCUCGCGCCUCUCCCUCCACACCUGCAUGCAAGCUGAGGGAGCUGGCUCCGGCCUUGGCCAGCCCAGAAAGGGGCUCCCACAGUGCAGCGGUGGGCUGAAGGCCUCCUCAAGUGCCGCCAAAGUGGGAGCCCAGGCAGAGGAGGCGCCGAGAGAGAGCGAGGGCUGUGAGGACUGCCAGCAGGCUGUCACCUCUCACUUCUGGGCUACAAACAUGGACAGCAUGUACUGAGGACUGGAGGCAACUGUAAUGCAACGUUACUGCUGAAAGCAUCCUGAGUGACACAAACUUGAAGCAUGCAAGAGGACUAAAUAACUUCCAAAGUCACACAUAUUGCAUGUCAAGAGCCAGCUUCAAACUCAAGUCCCUGUGACCAGAGGUCGAUGCUCUAAACACAUUUCUGCAUGACCUGCUUGUGGCAGCCUGGAGAAAUUCUACAUAAAUCUUCUCAGAUUCCAGAGGCUGCGAGGUCUGAGAUCAAGGAUCUGACACCUGGUGAGGGCCUUUUUGCUGCAUCAUUUCACAUAGAGACAAAAAGAUUCUCACCUGUAAGCUUGAAUUAUGUCUACAUCAUGCUUGGGAAAUGUCCAUAUAUUCUAAGCUUGAAACUGCAGUGAUGAGGACGUCACCACUUCCAGAGAGAACACUUUACUACCAGGCAACUUGAGUACAAUAGGCAGCCACAAAUAUCAUCCUUGCUAGCCAGGAAUGACAAGGAGCAAGCCACAUGAGGAGUCAGAAAAGAUUAUUCCAGGCAGGGCUGAGAUCUGCAUUAUGGUCUGGAGGCUGCCCCAGUCUCUCCUUUACCUCCAUAUUUUUCUCACAGAGAAAGGGUCUCACUGUUCUGCUCAGGCUGGACUAGAACUCCUGGGUUCAAGUGAUGUUCCUGCUGCAGCUUCUUCAGUAGCUGUGACUACAGACGAACCACAUUGGUCUCUGAAAGGAGAAUGGACCUGGAGAACAAGACAGGAAGACAAUAUCAGGUAGGAGGCUCUGGGAUCAGUUAAGACAACUGGCCAUGAAGACUUCAAUGAAGGGGGCAGUAGUGGGAAGGAAUUGUAUUUAAGGAACAUUUACUUGAUGUACAGUCUGCAUAACUUUCGUUUGACUAAAUUUGAAGCAUGAGAGUAAAAGAGGAAGAAAUGUGGAUAUAUUUGUAAAAAUGAUACUGGAUUGUAUAAUAAAUAAAUUAUAAAUUUCCAUGGCUUGAUAAAAUAGAGCUUUAUUUCUCAGAGACUUUCCAGAACAGAUGUUCCUGACAGAUGACUGUCUUUCUUCCAUGUGGUGACUUAGGGAACCCAAAUGUAUCACCCUGUGACUCUGUCAUGCCCUCAUGCCUUGGAAUUCUUUUCAUACAACUAGUAGAGAGGGAAAUAGAGUACCAGGAAGAAGAGAUACUUCCUCGAAGCUCCAGACUGACAAUUACAUAUAUAACUUCCACUUAUAUUGCACUGUCUAUUAGUCACAUGGCUAGGUCUGAAUAUAGUACUCCCCACCUAUGUAUGAGGGGCAUGUUCCAAGACCCCCAGUGAACUCCUGAAACCUCAAUAGCACCAAACCCUGCAUAUACUAUGUUUUUUCAAUCUGAUAAUUGAGAUAUCUACUAAGUGACUAAUUG